rnacentral:rRNA from 1 species
CCUACGGGGGGCUGCAGUGAGGAAUAUUGGUCAAUGGACGAGAGUCUGAACCAGCCAAGUAGCGUGAAGGAUGACUGCCCUAUGGGUUGUAAACUUCUUUUAUAAAGGAAUAAAACGAGGCACGUGUGCCUUUUUGCAUGUACUUUAUGAAUAAGGAUCGGCUAACUCCGUGCCAGCAGCCGCGGUAAUACGGAGGAUCCGAGCGUUAUCCGGAUUUAUUGGGUUUAAAGGGAGCGUAGAUGGGUUGUUAAGUCAGUUGUGAAAGGUUGCGGCUCAACCGUAAAAUUGCAAUUGAUACUGGCAGUCUUGAGUACAGUUGAGGUAGGCGGAAUUCGUGGUGUAGCGGUGAAAUGCUUAGAUAUCACGAAGAACCCCGAUUGCGAAGGCAGCUUACUAAACUGUGACUGACAUUGAUGCUCGAAAGUGUGGGUAUCAAACAGGAUUAGAUACCCUGGUAGUC